UACGAAGGGGGCUAGCGUUGCUCGGAAUCACUGGGCGUAAAGCGCACGUAGGCGGCUUUUUAAGUCAGGGGUGAAAUCCUGGAGCUCAACUCCAGAACUGCCUUUGAUACUGAGAAGCUUGAGUCCGGGAGAGGUGAGUGGAACUGCGAGUGUAGAGGUGAAAUUCGUAGAUAUUGGGAAGAACACCGGUGGCGAAGGCGGCGACCUGGUCCUUGACUGACGCUGAGGCGCGAAAGCGUGGGGAGCAAACAGG
rnacentral:rRNA from 1 species